rnacentral:rRNA from 1 species
AAAUUGAAGAGUUUGAUCAUGGCUCAGAUUGAACGCUGGCGGCAGGCCUAACACAUGCAAGUCGAGCGGUAGCACAGAGAGCUUGCUCUCGGGUGACGAGCGGCGGACGGGUGAGUAAUGUCUGGGAAACUGCCUGAUGGAGGGGGAUAACUACUGGAAACGGUAGCUAAUACCGCAUAAUGUCGCAAGACCAAAGUGGGGGACCUUCGGGCCUCAUGCCAUCAGAUGUGCCCAGAUGGGAUUAGCUAGUAGGUGGGGUAACGGCUCACCUAGGCGACGAUCCCUAGCUGGUCUGAGAGGAUGACCAGCCACACUGGAACUGAGACACGGUCCAGACUCCUACGGGAGGCAGCAGUGGGGAAUAUUGCACAAUGGGCGCAAGCCUGAUGCAGCCAUGCCGCGUGUGUGAAGAAGGCCUUCGGGUUGUAAAGCACUUUCAGCGGGGAGGAAGGCGGUGAGGUUAAUAACCUCACCGAUUGACGUUACCCGCAGAAGAAGCACCGGCUAACUCCGUGCCAGCAGCCGCGGUAAUACGGAGGGUGCAAGCGUUAAUCGGAAUUACUGGGCGUAAAGCGCACGCAGGCGGUCUGUCAAGUCGGAUGUGAAAUCCCCGGGCUCAACCUGGGAACUGCAUUCGAAACUGGCAGGCUAGAGUCUUGUAGAGGGGGGUAGAAUUCCAGGUGUAGCGGUGAAAUGCGUAGAGAUCUGGAGGAAUACCGGUGGCGAAGGCGGCCCCCUGGACAAAGACUGACGCUCAGGUGCGAAAGCGUGGGGAGCAAACAGGAUUAGAUACCCUGGUAGUCCACGCUGUAAACGAUGUCGAUUUGGAGGUUGUGCCCUUGAGGCGUGGCUUCCGGAGCUAACGCGUUAAAUCGACCGCCUGGGGAGUACGGCCGCAAGGUUAAAACUCAAAUGAAUUGACGGGGGCCCGCACAAGCGGUGGAGCAUGUGGUUUAAUUCGAUGCAACGCGAAGAACCUUACCUGGUCUUGACAUCCACAGAACUUAGCAGAGAUGCUUUGGUGCCUUCGGGAACUGUGAGACAGGUGCUGCAUGGCUGUCGUCAGCUCGUGUUGUGAAAUGUUGGGUUAAGUCCCGCAACGAGCGCAACCCUUAUCCUUUGUUGCCAGCGGUCCGGCCGGGAACUCAAAGGAGACUGCCAGUGAUAAACUGGAGGAAGGUGGGGAUGACGUCAAGUCAUCAUGGCCCUUACGACCAGGGCUACACACGUGCUACAAUGGCAUAUACAAAGAGAAGCGACCUCGCGAGAGCAAGCGGACCUCAUAAAGUAUGUCGUAGUCCGGAUUGGAGUCUGCAACUCGACUCCAUGAAGUCGGAAUCGCUAGUAAUCGUAGAUCAGAAUGCUACGGUGAAUACGUUCCCGGGCCUUGUACACACCGCCCGUCACACCAUGGGAGUGGGUUGCAAAAGAAGUAGGUAGCUUAACCUUCGGGAGGGCGCUUACCACUUUGUGAUUCAUGACUGGGGUGAAGUCGUAACAAGGUAACCGUAGGGGAACCUGCGGUUGGAUCACCUCCUUACCUUAAAGAA